rnacentral:ribozyme from 1 species
UUCAUGUGGGAAACGGAAAAGAUUCAGAAAAAGGAAAUCUUUCUUGUGUGAGAAAACAAAGAACCAUCGGUCUUGGCCCCAUUGUCUCUUUUUCGCUCUACUUUGUUUUACUUUUUCUUUAUUUUUCCUC